rnacentral:rRNA from 1 species
UGGGGGAUAUUGCACAAUGGGCGAAAGCCUGAUGCAGCGACGCCGCGUGGGGGAUGAAGGCCUUCGGGUUGUAACCUUCUUUUGCUCUGAACAAGGCGCACCAUGGGGUGUGUUGAGUGUAGGGGUUGAUUAGCGCCGGCUAACUACGUGCCAGCAGCCGCGGUAAUACGUAGGGUGCGAGCGUUGUCCGGAAUUAUUGGGCGUAAAGGGCUUGUAGGUGGCUGGUUGCGUCUGUCGUGAAAGCUCAUGGCUUAACUGUGGGUUUGCGGGGGGUACGGGCUGGCUUGAGGGGAGUAGGGGAGGCUGGAAUUCCUGGUGGAGCGGUGGAAUGCGCAGUUAUCAGGAGGAAUACCGGUGGCGAAGGCGGGUCUCUGGGCUGUUACUGACACUGAGGAGCGAAAGCAUGGGGAGCGAACAGG